AAAGAUUCAUCGCUGAUAGAUAGGCAUGCGUUCCAUUAGGCAGUUGGCGGGGUAACGGCCCACCAAACCGACGAUGGAUAGGGGUUCUGAGAGGAAGGUCCCCCACAUUGGUACUGAGACACGGACCAAACUCCUACGGGAGGCAGCAGUGAGGAAUAUUGGUCAAUGGGCGUAAGCCUGAACCAGCCAAGUCGCGUGAGGGAUGAAGGUUCUAUGGAUCGUAAACCUCUUUUAUAAGGGAAUAAAGUGUGGGACGUGUCCUAUUUUGUAUGUACCUUAUGAAUAAGGAUCGGCUAACUCCGUGCCAGCAGCCGCGGUAAUACGGAGGAUCCGAGCGUUAUCCGGAUUUAUUGGGUUUAAAGGGUGCGUAGGCGGCCUUUUAAGUCAGCGGUGAAAGUCUGUGGCUCAACCAUAGAAUUGCCGUUGAAACUGGGGGGCUUGAGUAUGUUUGAGGCAGGCGGAAUGCGUGGUGUAGCGGUGAAAUGCUUAGAUAUCACGCAGAACCCCGAUUGCGAAGGCAGCCUGCCAAGCCAUGACUGACGCUGAUGCACGAAAGCGUGGGGAUCAACCAGGAUUAGAUACCCUGGUAGUCCACGCAGUAAACGAUGAUCACUAGCUGUUUGCGAUACAGUGUAA
rnacentral:rRNA from 1 species